UUGGCCUAAAUUGUAAAAUAAUCUCUGAAUUUUAGUGAAAAAAAACAAAUACCCACAAAAAAUAUCUUGAUUUUUUCAUUGAAUGUAUCUCUUCUAUCAGAUUUCUCAUGAGUAAUUGACGAAAAAGCCCACAACAAACCUUCAAAUUCCUCUCUCUCUUCGACUACAGUGAAAGAAAAACUAGCUCAUCAUCUUCUAUCUUCUUCCCUCAAAUUAAAAAAGAAACACCCAAAAACACUCCGAUCGGGCUGUUGCUGCUGUUGUCGUGCGUGAUGGUCUUCGACGGUGGCUGUUCUAGCAUCGUUUCUGCUCGCAUUGGAGAGAAAAGAGACAGGAAGCUGCUGCUGUGUGCUGUUGUCGCUGGCUAUGAGGAGGAAAGGGCAUAGCUCACGGCGGAGAGAGUUCGUCGUUUCUGGCGACGAGUGAAAGAGGGGCUGCUGGUGCUGCCAACCACCGAUGGAACUACUUCUGUGACUAUGGCUGCCACCCUACAUCUCAAAACCUUAGCCAUGCCAGCUAUGGUGCUACUGUCCAAACCAACCCCUGUUAUAGUGCUCUUGAAAAAACUGACUUUCAAUCCCUAAACUAAUUCAAAGCAUUGCAGCACCCGCUUGAUGUUCUGAACAGAAGAGAGACUUUUUGAGCUGAAAAUAAGUGUGUCGUCAGCAAAUUGAAGACAAGAGAAUCUGAAAUCAUCAGACCCCAGAUAUACCUUCCACUGAGCCCAAAUCACAGCCCUCUUCAAUCAUCUUACCAAGGCCCUCUUCUGCAAUGUUUAACAGAAAAGGAGAUGAAGGGUCACCUUGUCUCAAACCUUUCUCCAUUAAAAAUGCACCGAUACUCUGGCUGUGGAGAUGCACUGCCUAAUCCAACCCCUCCGUUUGUUUUCGAAGCCCAUACAAAGCAUAACUAAAUAAAUAACCUUGGAGCUUGUUCUUCUUAAGAUAGCUGAUUACUUUAUUCGCUAUGAACACACUAUCCAGGACUUGACUUCCUUUGAUAAAGGAAUUCUAGUUCCCUCCAAUAAUCUCAGGCAUCACACCCUUCAGCCGUUUAGCCAAAACCUUUGCUAUGAUUUUAUAUAAGCAGCCAAUCAAACUAGUAGGUCUGAGAUCUUUCAGACAUGUAGCCCCUGCGAGUUUUGGAAUACGUGUUAUGAAGGAGCUGCAUAUACCCUUUGGUAGAUAACCCAAAAAGAAGAAAUCUUCUACCAUGUUAAGAAUGUCCAGACCCACGAAAUCCCAUGCUUUUUCAAUAAAGAAAGAAUUGAUGUCGUCCGGACCAGGAGCUUUAUUUCCGUCGCAUUCCCACAUUGCAGUUUUAAACUCUUCCAUAGAAACUGGAAUUUCCAAAAGGGAAGAUGAGCUAAGACUCAACCUCCUAAAAUUGAUAACAGAGCAUGAAGGCGUGGUUCCUUUGAGCAUCCUUGUAUCGUCUGAUGAGGCCAAACGCAACUUGUCUCUGGCCUUGCGGAGAAUCAGAAGGGCUUGUUUCUUAGAGGAAGGAGGUAAAGUAAUAAGACUAUCAUCAUAAAAUCAUCUUAUUUUGACUUUGAGUGAGAUAAAGUGUAAAUUUAUAGGAGAAGCAAUUCUUGUUUAAUCGUGUUAAUUAAUUCUAAGACAUUAUAACUAUGGACUAACAAACCAUUAAGAUAGCAAAAACACAAACAAAACUAAACUAAAUAUUAAUUAGGAACAAAUUUGAACUCCCAAUACAUUAAAAUACUUAAUGCUGAAAAUUGACAGUCUAGUUAUCCUAGGGAUCUGUGGACAUGUGUAUUGAGGUUUAAAAAAUAGUAUACUAAAUCACGAAGCAAAUCUCUUGAGAGCUUCGAACUGAACAAAUAUAAUUGUUAAAUGCUAAUAAAAGAGUUCAUGUAGUCUUUUCUUGUGUCAAUGCAUGGUAAUGCUAACUUGUGUCGAUCAGGAAGGCAAGAAGCUGUGAAUGGCAUGCCUGCAUGGAAUUAUCUGACAAUAUUAAGAUGAUAAUCAUGAUUGACAUGCGUUAAGAGGGAGAUUAAGAAGAUAAUAACUGGAGGUUUCCAUGUUGAUGAUAAACUAUUACAUUACCAUAUGAUUUUUCAUAUCAGUGAAGCAGUGGUCUUGAAGGAGAUCCUUGCAAGUUCACAGGAUUAUCACCAUAAGCCUGGCAUGAGGAGCAGAAAGAAAAAUGUAGCCAAGAACAACCUGCCAACGGAUUCAUCUCUUCUUAAUUAUGCGUAUAUUGAUGGAAGCAAAAACGAGUCGUCGGCAAGUCAUCCUUGGCUGCAUCAAUCUUUAUGAUCCUCCAUGCAAGGCUGUUACAGUGAGACUACAGCAACUGAAGCAAGAAAAAGGGACACUUUGCUUUGCAGACGUAGAAGGAGAGCUGGGAAGGAUAGGAAGAUAGAGGAGAAAGAUGGGACGAGAUUUUAAGGAAGCUUAGGAGCCUUAAAUACAAAUGAAGGGGCCAUGAGCUGCAAUUUGUGAUAAAAUACACUGCAGUAUUAUUUUGUGCCUAUUUAUCUGCUACCGAGGCAAUUGGGACAGCUCUUGCAAUAGGAUAUAGUUUUGGCCCCAGCCGAAUAAAGUAACAGAGGUCCUUUCUUUCAUUCCUUCGUCGCCAUUGAAUUAGCAAACUAAUCAUGAAUUAAUCUUAUUAGCAAGCAACUAGGCAUUGAUUAAAGAAUGCAUGUUACACGAGGGGUUCUUUAAUUUGUGGAAAAGACUUGUUAUUCCAGUAUGAGAUUUCAGAUUCAAUUCAUGUCAUUUGAUUGA